GAACAGAAGCGGUUGGGGAGCUGUUCUGAUGGGGAGCUCAGGCUUGGCUUCAUUCCCAGAGGCUACCCCAGAUUCAGACCCCCGCGCUACUGUAGCCCCUCCCCGGCCAGUGGGGGGAGGGGAGGGAAGAGAGCUACUUGCCGCUAGGGGGGGCCCCCAGGGAGCCGCAGCCCUGCAAGGGGCGAGCAGAGAUUAGAGAUGAGCAGAGCCCCCGCCCCGCGCCCCCAAAGGUCGGGCGCUAAAUUUACCCCGGGCCCCGGCUCCGGUUACUCCGCGGCGCGGCAGGAGAAGGUCACAUUCCCCGGGCCCGGGGAGGACACGCGAUACCAGGGCGCCCUUCCCGGGGCGGAGGCAGGAGCCCGGCAUGCAGCGGCGCUUCCCGCUCGGGUGCACAGGAAGGCACAGGACACAGCACCAGGUUGCAGAGAUCCAGCUGAAGAGGGAAACAUUCAGAAGAUGGGGCACUACUAUAGGGUAUGCAGGUGAGAGUCAGUUUGCUCAGUAAACAGGCCCUGGCCAUCAAACAGAAGAUCCUAAAUGGUGGGUUGCACUUCAGGUGGGAGGCCGGAUGUCUGGAGCCAUGCGUUCCGACACAUGGCAAUGCCGGAGGCCAAAGUGCAAGCUGCCGCGUCUGCAGUGUCAAGGGAGCUCUGGAGGGAGGUUCAGGCUACCAGCUUACCCUCCUCAGCAAUGGCCCCAAUUCUUUGUGGGACUCAGAUGGGAGGAGUUCCUGGAACUGAAGGAUCGCAGACCACGAAUUAUAAAACUAUAUCUGCUGAGAACCGCAAGCUGGUUCACAAUUCAA